GAUGAAGAACGUAGCGAAAUGCGAUACGUAAUGUGAAUUGCAGAAUUCAGUGAAUCAUCGAGUCUUUGAACGCACAUUGCGCCCCCUGGUAUUCCGGGGGGCAUGCCUGUCCGAGCGUCAUUGCUGCCCUCAAGCCCGGCUUGUGUGUUGGGUCUCGUCCCCCUUCCCGGGGGACGGGCCCGAAAGGCAGCGGCGGCACCGCGUCCGGUCCUCGAGCGUAUGGGGCUUUGUCACCCGCUCUGUAGGCCCGGCCGGCGCUUGCCGAUCAACCAAAACUUUUUUCCAGGUUGACCUCGGAUCAGGUAGGGAUACCCGCUGAACUUAAGCAUAUCAAUAAGCGGAGGA
rnacentral:misc_RNA from 1 species